rnacentral:lncRNA from 10 species
AGGGAGGAAGGCCAGGUAUUUCCUGAACGUCAUGGAACACGAGGCCCAGCAACCAAAUUAUACACCGGGUAAUUAUAGCUUCCAGCCUCAUGUCAGGAGUCCCCUGCUCAACAGCGUGCUCCUGGUGAUACUGCCACCCGUAACGGGUACUGGCUUUGCUAACAUCCUGACGAGACGUCGGGGAGAGACGGGAAGUGGCAGGUGGGUUGCCCUGACUUAUGUUAAUUGUCUAUGUCAGGCCUGCGGGUCUUGUUUUGACAGUCCCAAAAUUAUGUUUGGACUGCUGAUUAGAUCAAUAUGGGAAACUGGGCCAGAGGAGUUUCUCUGUGAGGAAAAAACAAUCUGGGUAAGAUCAGAUCCUCAGGUGUGAAGGAGGGAGUCUCUUUUCACAGCCCCCUUGACCUUCCCGUCUCACUUGGAGCUGCCCCUCUCUGUCCCAGCUGCAAAAAUGGACCCAGGAAACACGGUGGAGGGUAGGAGCUAUGGGGUGGGCAGAGUCAUAGCAGGGGACAGGGCUGCCUUGGAGGCCAGCCCAUGCAUUCACAAGGAUGUAUUCAAGGUUUAGUCUGAGCCCUCACUUUGUGGCUUUAUAGAUGAUUGUUUUAAUAGGGCGCAGUGAGGAGGGAGGGGCACAACCCCAGAGAUGGCAGCAAUGUGGGUGGCUGGGAGACGUGGCCACAGCUAAAGACAACCUGGGCAUGGCUCUGAGUCAGCAAAGGGGGAUAUUUUUCUCAGAUUUAUUAAAAGUGGUAGCUGCUGGUGAUGCUUGGGUUUAUAACCUUACCAUUUAUUUAUAUCUGAUGAUUCCCCACUUCCUUUUUUAAAAAAAAAAAGUUAAGAUCUUGUUCGGUUGCCCAGGCUGAAGUGCAGUGGUGCCGUCACGGCUCACUGGAGCCUUGAACUCCUAGGCUCAAGUGAUCCUCCUGCCUCAGCCUCCUGAGUAACUGGGACUAUGGGUGUACACCACCAUGUCAUGCUAAUUUUUAAAUGUUUUGUAGAGAUGGGAUCUCACUGUGUUGCCCACGCUGGUUUCAAACUCCUAGCCUCAAGCAAUCCUCCUGCCUCAGCCUCCUGAAGCCCUGGGAUUACAAGCAUAAGCCACCGCCCCCGGCCAGAUCACAUGAUUCUUUACAUCUCUGCUGACAGAUUUCAUCACUGGUGCUGAGUGCAGGGAGUCCCGCAGCCACUUACACGUGUUGCAUUGCCGGGCAAUACAGGCCUGUGUGACUUGCUAUUCUAUGGCUGGGCUUCUGCCUGCAGAUGCCUGGUUUCUCCACUGCCAAGGCUCAUGGUCUGACACAUCCAGGAAAUUCAACAGUGAGGAUGCAAUGACAAUGAGUCGUGCAUGAGGGUUCCCGGGCCUCGCUCCCCUGCCCAUCAGAGAAGGCUUGGCAUCUCAGCUGACUCGCCCUCUGCUGCCCUGGGAAGGGGGCCGCCAUGGUCAGAAUGCCUCUCUGCUUACUUGGGCUAUGGCUGGGGAGGAGUUCUUCAGGAAAUCUUGAGGAGAGAGGUGCUGGAGUAUGAGGACAAUAGGUGGAAAGGGAAGGAAAUUUAAGGAAGUAUUUCUGUGGGCCAUGUGUCUCUGUUUCAGCAUUUAAGAACGCAUAUAAGGAACUUCAGUUAUUUUGCAAUGACUCUUGUUGCUGGGUGGUGAUUCUUGACUCCACCAUUGGUUGAGUCUUGACUGCAGGCAUCGCAGCUUCAGGGGGAUUACGGAACACCAGCGCACAGAAGAAGUACACGGUUGGGCAAGAUAGAGGAGGAAAGGACUCUACCUCAUGGCUUGUCCAGAAGAGGGCAGGGCCACCCCUGCAGCCAGGCCUCCCGGGCCCUGGAGGUAGGAGGGGGACGAUGGCCUCUAAGAGCACUCUGAGACCAGGAGCCUGUUCUCUCGGGCCUGAAGGCUUCGCUUCCACUGUUCUACGCUGCCGCCCUGGCCUGGCCACCUCCCCUCCACUGUGUGGCUGGCUUUUCUCUGCCUUCUGCUGCCUGAUGGGAUCUCCCACUCACCUCCACGAGGAUCUGAGAGGAAAGGGUGCUGAGGAGAGGAGCGUGGAGUGGGCAGGCUCUUGAUGCCAAGCCAAGAAUCUGCAUGGCUCAUUUGAAACUUCGCAGUGCCCUUUAUCUCUUGUUCUCUUUUAUGUAUAAGCUCGUCUUUCUCCCAUACAGUUGUAAACCCCAAAGGGUAGGGACUGUAUUCGGUUCCUUAUUUAUAUCCUGUAAGACAGUGACUCUCAAACUCAUCAGAAUCACCUGGGGAGUUUUAAAAACUUGAUUCCUCCAGAAACCAUAAAGACCAAAGAUUUAAAAAUAUCACCAUAUUAAAACAGAAUGAAGCAAAAUCCUUCUGUAAAGCUAAACAAACAAACAAACUCAUGAAUCAGUCAGAAGAAAUUAUAAACAAGGGGAAAACAGUAUUUGGAAUAUAGAUGGAAGACACACUAAUUUCUUUAAUUUGCAACAAAUGUCUAUAAAUAAGAAAUAUACAAACAACUCAAUAAAUGCUGGGCCAGGAAUCUGAACUGGCAGAACAUGGAAAAGAAAUACCAGUGACCAAGAAACAUAUGAAGAGCUGCUCAUCCUUCCUCAGAAAUAAAGAGACGCAAAUCAGAACAAUGCCAGACCACUUUUCAUGAAUCUGAUUAGCAAAAAUUAUAAAGUUUCAUGAUGCCCAUUGCUGAUGAGAGUAUGGAAGCAGAUGCCAGUGAAUGCAAACUUGGUGGAUUUUGGCACCUGUGUGACAAGGUGGGGCGGUGGUUCUCACACCUGCAUGAGCUUCUGAAUCACAUGAUGAACUUUUAAAAACAUAGAUUCUCUGCGCCCCCAUCCCAUACUGCCAUAAGGCACCCGCGUGUAACUAAGGGCACAAUUUGUGAAGUUCGAAAUGGUAAUAGAGACCAGACUAGUAAAUUUCAACUAAAGGAAUUUUGUCAACAUACAUCAACAUUUUUAAAACAUGAGUAACCUUUGACCCAGCAAUUCUACUGAUGGGAGCUGAUUCUGAAAUUUCCCACAGAAGAGUAUCAACGUCGGCAAGAAUGGAUGCCCACAGCAGCAUUAUUUGUAUAGCAAACAACCUCAAUGUCCAUCAAUAGGAACCUGGAUAAAUAAACUGUGGCACACUCUUAGAUCUUUUAAAGAGAUUUAGUAGGAACUCCAUUUGCUGAUAUAGAGCAGUCUCUGAGUUAUGUUGUGCAAUGAAAAAAUCAAGCAGCAGAGCAGUAUAAAUGGUGUAAUCCAUUUUCCACAUAACUUUUAAAAUGACACACCAUAUACUUUGGUAAAUGCACAAAUUCUUUUUCAAUGGAAAAUCUACAAGAAGCUGAUAACAGUGGCAACUUUGAGGGAAGGAUGAGAAGAGAGGUUCUUACCUUUCAUUCAGUACUGCUUGAUUUUCCUACUUCCUACUUUGUGCAUUGAUUAGUUUUAGUGGAGAACUUCAGUAAGUGUCAUCUGAAAGGUGGAGUUAUGGGACAAUUUUGGUUUCUCCUUUAGAGUUUUCUGUAAAGGAUAUUCAAUAAUUGAAGAUUCUCAGGCCAUAUACCAGAUACACCAAGUUUGGGUGGAGAUGCUGGCAUGGGACUCUAGAAAUCAGCUUGUCGUGUGAUUCUGCUCAUCAGUCAGGUUUGAGACUCACUGCAGAAGAUUCUGGAAGAAAAAUGCUCUCUUCUCUAGCUCAGGGGUUAUGAGGAUGAGAGGGUGGGGUGGCUGCAGCCCUUUUGUUUCCAUGAAAGGAGAACCUGAAUGACCUUGUGCAACCUAAGGUCAAAGAAAUGCAUGGCUGGCAAGUAAACCACAGAGAGGAACUUGUCCGCUGGUACAUCAGUAGGCCACAGAAUCAUGCCUUUCCCGAAGAAGGACGUCCUGUGUCUAGACUUUUCAGUUAUGAAGCCAAUACGUCCUCUUUGUUGUUUAAUGCAGCUUGAGUUAGGUCUUUUGUCACAUGCAAUAUUAAGAAUCCUAACUGAUAGACCUCCACUGAGACAAGCUGAGUAUGUCUUUAUCUCUUGCAGACUGAAAUUGCCUAAUUUAUAAAGUAUUUCAUGAUGUUUGCAAGAUAAACCCUUGUCUGCUGCCUUGGGCUACAUCUGAUGAUUGCCUGCAAUAUUUCUGCCUCUAGAAAUGAACUGUCAAACCAAGAAGUAUGUCCUUGGAAUGCAUCCUCCACUUUAGCAAAAGAAUUAUGUGUUUUGUUUGCUCUUCAUCAUGUAACUCUUGAAUAAAUUUGGAUGCAACAGAUUAAGGGCAUAACCAGGAAAUAUUUCUUGUGAUAUAACUGAUAUCUGGGUUUGUUCACUUAAUCAUUCAUUUGACAAACAUGUGAUGAGGGCUCACCAUGAGCCGGAUACCUUGCUAGGCAUUGGGUGGGUAUACAAUGGAGAACAAAGCAGACAUGUUCUCUGCCCUCAUAGAGGUUGUAAGCUAAUGGGAGAGACAGAUAUUAAACCAAUAACCAAUAAUCACACAAACAAGAAAUUUAUGCAUUUAGAUAACUGCAUGAAAUGAAAGUCCUGAGUCCUAUUAGAAAGUGUAACAGGGAUUUCUAACCUCUAUGAAGAGACACAGGAGAGCUUGACUCAACUUGAGAGACUGAAAAGGACCGUGUAGCCAGCGAAGUGCAUGAGGGGCAGUUCUGCAGGAAAAAGGGCUGGAGAGACAGGCAGGGGCAGAACACAGAUGCCUUGCAUCCCUGUUAAGGAUUUUGUAUUUUAUCCCAAGUGAGAUGAACAACACUGAAGGCAGUGACAUGGAGCAGGAGAGUGACAUAAUCUAGAUUCUGUUUUUAAAAUUAUAUCUUUGUCUAUUGUGUAGCAAAUGGAUCAGAGAGGCCAAUAGUAGAAACAGCGAGACCAGUUAGUGGGUGUUGCAGAAAUCCAGGUGAGAGUUUCUGGGGCUGUUUGGAUUCAGGUGAUGGUGUAGAGUGAAGAGAGUGGAAGAAAGUGGACAUAUUCUUUUAGGCAGAAUCUGGAAGGCAAGGGGAAGGAUUGGUUAUGUGUAUGUUGGCAGGCAGGAGGGAGUGAGGAAGCUGUCCAGGAGAACCACUAGCUUACUGACUUGGGCCAUUUGACUGACUGGGGAGGGACAAUGGGACCUGGGAGUUUUUUUUUGUUUGUUUGUUUUGUUUUGUUUUGUUUUGUUUUAGAUGGAGUCUCGCUCUGUCACCCAGGCUGGAGUGCUGCGGUGCGAUCUCGGCUCACUGCAAGCUCCGCCUCCUUGGUUCACGG